rnacentral:rRNA from 1 species
GCAUUGGAAACUGAUUUAUUUGAGUGCGAUAGAGGCAAGUGGAACUCCAUGUGUAGCGGUGAAAUGCGUAGAUAUGUGGAAGAACACCAGUGGCGAAAGCGGCUUGCUAGAUCGUAACUGACGUUGAGGCUCGAAAGUAUGGGUAGCAAACGGGAUUAGAUACCCCGGUAGUCCAUACCGUAAACGAUGGGUGCUAGUUGUUAAGAGGUUUCCGCCUCCUAGUGACGUAGCAAACGCAUUAAGCACCCCGCCUGAGGAGUACGGCCGCAAGGCUAAAACUUAAAGGAAUUGACGGGGACCCGCACAAGCGGUGGAGCAUGUGGUUUAAUUCGAAGAUACGCGAAAAACCUUACCAGGUCUUGACAUACCAAUGAUCGCUUUUGUAAUGAAAGCUUUUCUUCGGAACAUUGGAUACAGGUGGUGCAUGGUCGUCGUCAGUUCGUGUCGUGAGAUGUUGGGUUAAGUCCCGCAACGAGCGUAACCCUUG